GUUUUUUCCAAAGAUUCACCAGCCUCUGCCUAGGAAAAGCGCAGGCAUAUAAAAAGACCCUGUGCCCAUGAACAGGAGCUUUUUAUCAUCACCCAGUCUGGAGGGAGGCCAGAAUGCCUCUCUCUGUGUAUCUCUUUUGCCUGGACCUGAGAACAUGUCAGCAUUUCAAUGCAUUUAUCCAGGUUCCAUUCCCAUUUUUCCCAUUUUCCUCUAAACAGGCUGCCUCUACUCUCCAAGUUGACUCCAUUCAAUCUCUUGCGGCUGCUGCUUCCCUAACUCUGAGUCCUUGCCUUCUGCUACAUUUGGUUACAAUUAACGUCCAGCUUGUCUUCUAGACCUCACCUGCUCUGGGCUCUGGACCCAGAUAGGCACCAGCAAUACUUCUCCGAGGAGUGUGCUUCCCAUUCAGCAAUGAUUGUGAGUUUCCUGAGGCCUCCCCAGCCAAGUGGAACUAGAAUGUAGCAUCUUCUGGAUAUCCUGAAUGCAUGAAGUUUUCAAACUUUUAGUGUAAGUAUGAUUUUUGAAAGCAGUUAAAGACCGUGAUGCUAGUGUAGUAAAUGUGGUCAGGUCUAAAGCUAAAUACAAUUUGUUCAUAGUGUUAAAGGAAGUGCAAUCAUAAAGUCAAGGGAUAUUUUUGGAAGUGAUUAUAAAAAUGGCUCUGAAUGGAGCUAGAUUUUACUGAUGGCAGCAUCCUCAGGGAUAACUGAAUGGCUUCCCAAAGUAAACUUUUGAGGGGGCCAAAAAUUUAACUCUGUUACUUUACUCUGUAGUUGUCAUGCAUUUUAUGAGAUGCUGACACUUACCCUUUCCAUAAUAGAUACUGGUAAAAUAGCCUCUUCCCAGCUGCAACCUCUACCACCACCAAGUUUACAGUAUGCAUAGAAAUGGUAUGGGGUUGCUGAAGAAAGAAAGGAAACAAAUUCAUGCUCAAGUAGAGCAACUUCUUACACCUCUAGCAGAGAAAUGAUAAGGCUUCUGAGACCAUCAUGAGGAAGGGAUGGAGCCCAGAAAUGUCUUUCUACAGUGCACCCUAGUUCCACCCACUGGACCCCCGCAGUGGAUCAGCAUACUCCUCAGAGAGCUAUUGCUGGUGCCCAUCUGGCAUGCUGAUUAAAAAGCAAUACGUACGCCAUGAUGUCUUUGGAACCAUUGUCUGAUGUGGAGGGGAACUGUGUCAAUAAAUCAUGAUAACAGUUAAUUCAAGUAAUAAAUACUUUUAUGGUUGAAUAUUAUAUUAUUUGUUUUUAAGUCUGGCUGAUAUCUAUUAUAAUGAGAUUUUCCUUUACUAUUCCAUUUCAUUAUAAUUGACAGUAUUUGUGUGAAAUAUUGAGGGAGCUCUGAUAGCCACAUUCAAAAAUAUAGUCAAGGUCUGUCAUGGGGCAUCCCAUCUAAGACAGAGCCCUCGGGGACAAGCCACAAGGGCGCAUACUGAAACAGAACCCUGGGGAACGCCUGAGCUAAUAUCAAAUCAUAAGACAAGAAGCAAACUUAUGUUCAAUAAAAUUUGAUGGGGGCAUCUUGAGAGACAAUGGUAAGGUCUUGAGGUUGCUGUUUAAACAGUAUGGAAAUGGAUAAGAAAUCACUGCCUCAGAUUUGGUUGGUAGCCAAUAAAGGCUUAGGGAUUAGCAAAAAGUUAGAAACUAUUGAAAAUAAUGAAAAGAUAGGAUCUAGCCUUCACCAUCUCUAUACAAAAUAAAUUAAUUUAAAUUAGUACAAUCCUAGGAGGUCCUUCCCAUCAACUACGAUCAUGAGCAAGCAAAUAGUUAAAAUGGAACCAUGUGUUGUUUCACGUAAAGAAAAAGGCUUGAGUUUUUGGUAACAGUUCUACCUGUAAAAUAGUAAAGCUGUAGAUACCUAUAGCAUUGAUGAUGGCAGGGGGGAGAUGAUAUUAUGUCAGUGACAGCGAGCCAAGCCCCAUCUAAAAGAAAGGUAAGCUGGGAGUUUUACUUAAAAAGCCUACCUAAAUUGACAGCUCUCACAGAAUGCACUGGAAUUUGGGGGUAAAGAUAGAAUCUUCCCUCAGGUUUGAAAAACAAGCUCUUAUUCACAUUUUCUAUUUUCCCAUUGACAUGAAAAUUGCCUAAGAAAAGUAGACGAGAUCCCAGGGGCACACUGCUUUUCAACUUGAAUCUUUGCCUUCCCUUUUCAUUUUUUACUUACAGUGAGUACAUGCAUGUAUGCAUGCACAUGUGUAUGUGUGUGUACACGUUUGUGGGGGCGGGGAGGUUGUCCAUGGAGAUUUUCUCUUAAAGGAAAGCCUAUUUCCCUCAGCGGUAGGAAAAUUGAAGCCUGCACCCUCCUAAUACAAGACCUACUCUUUUCUUUAAAACAUAGAAGACUUAUCUUUUGAAAUGGGGUAGCCGCUUAAGGAAUAGAUAAAUUCCCUGCGAUAUUUACUCCCAGAAAGAAAAAAAUAGUAUAAAGAAUAAUUUUAAUACUUGGGUCACUGAGAUUUUGGAAUGAGCCUCAGGCUGUUUCAGAGAGAAGUCUGUGUAUUCAGGUUGCAUGGAGAGCUGUGUUUAUUUGGAAAGGCAAAUUAUAUAUGAUAUACUUGGUGUUAUUCAGUGUGCAAAAUGCUACAAAAGCCUACUGUAUGCAUACUUACUUGUUAUACCCACAUUUCAUUAAACCUCACAGACAUUGUUACCCAUAGUUCACACUCUGGACUGCCAAGGGGUUACCACCCAUUUCCUAAUAUACCAAAGAUACCCCAAAAGAGAUAUGACGGGCAGAUGUAACCCUCUUUUUCAACUACUAUGGCAUCUUUAAGCAUUUAAACUACUAUCACAUCUCUAAGUAUUUAGGGAGUGUGAUUAUUAAUGUUGUACCUCAACUUGACUGGGCCAUGGGGUGCCCAGACGUUUGAUCAGACAUUCCUCUGGGUGUUUGCCUGCCAGGGUAUUAUUGGAAGAAACUUGCAUUUGCAUCAGGAGACUGAGUACGGUAGAUUGCCCUCCCUAAUGUGGGUCGGCGUUGUCCAAUCAGUUGACAGCCUGGAUAGAACAAAAUGGCACAGUAAGAGAGAGCUCCUCCUGUUUGACUGCUGAGUUGGGACAUCAGUCAUUUCUGAACUUCAGACUAGGACUGAAAUAUCAACUUUUGUUGGGUCUCGAGCCUGCCAGCUUUCAGACUGGACCUUACACCAGUGGCUCCCCUGUUCUCAGGCUUUCAGACCUGGACUGGAACCACAUGUGGACUCUCUUGUUCUGCCAAUUGCAGAACUUGAGGCCUCUUGGGCUCCAUAUCACAUGAGCUAAUUCCCGAUAAUAAAUAUGUGUGUGUGCAUGUGUGUAUGUGUGUGUGUGUUUGUCUUGUUGGUUCUGGUUCUCUAGAGAACCCUGACUAAUAUAGGAAGUAAGGGGUAAAACUAAGAUACAUUUCCUUAGUUAUAAAAUGAAAAAAAUAAGCUAAAUCAUAUAAUUAUUUUGAUGCUUACAUGAGAUGUUACAUUUCUUGUUAGAUACUUGUAUUAGUCUAUUCUCACAUUGCUAUAAAUAAAUACCUGAGACUGGGUAAUUCAUAAAGGAAGGAGGUUUAAUUGUCCCGCGGUUCUGCAGGCUAUACAGGAAGCAUGGUGCUGGCAUCUGCUCAGCUUCUUGGGAGGCUUCAGGAUCUUACAAUCAUGGCAGAAGACAAAGAGGAAACAGGCACAUCACAUGGCCAGAGCAGGAGCAAGAAAGAGAGAGGGAAGUGCCACACAUGUUUAAACAGCCAGAUCUCAUGAGGACUCACUGUACAGUACCAAAGAAGGAUGGUGCUAAAUCAUUUAAGAAAAUCCGCCCCCAUGAUCGAAUCACCUCUCACCAGGUCCCACCUCCAACACUGGGGAUUUAAUUGAACAUGAGAUUUGGGUGAGGACACAGAUCCAAACCAUAUCAGUACUCCACACUGUGUUAGGUGUAAAGAAAACCUAACCAGUGGUUCCCCAACCACCUUCUCCCAACACCACAUGUUCAUCACCACAAACUUUCUUUCUGUCCUUAGAUCUGCCACCCACCAAAGGAAGAGCAGUACAGUCUUCACUCAGUAUUUGCAGGGGAUUGGUUUCAGGACCCCCAAAGAUACCAAAAUCCAUUGAUGCUCAAAUCAAUGAAAUAAAAUCAUGUAGUGUUUACAUAUAACCCACUGCACAUUCUCUCGUAUACUUUAAAUCAUCUGUAGAUUAUUUAUAAUACCUAAUAAAGGUAAAUGCUAU
rnacentral:lncRNA from 10 species